AAUUAGGAAUGUCCGGGGGGGUUAUGUGUUGGAGGCAGACGUCUUAUAAAUACGCCCCAGACACACAUGCGGCCCCAGAACACUAAACAAGAUUUUAAAAAUAAACAUGGAUUUUGGUAAAGCAGUGAUGACCGUAACAACGGAAGCAGGACCUUGGUUGAAACAGAGAAAAGACCCAGUAUAAAGCAACAAUAUACGACGCACCAAAAAAUUGGUUUAUAUGUGUGUGUAGAACCCAAAUACCUCCCGCAACUGCACUGAAAGAUCAAGUGAUGAUGUCUAAUGGACAGCACUGGGGGUAUCAGUUUGAUUACCCGGCCCGUAGAGUGAAACUCUAUACUGUAGCCGAAGGUGGAGAAUAUACAGACCAGACUUUAGGAGUGGACUAUGGGGUUGAAGACUGGACGGUUUUUCGCAAGGUUUUGUGUCCCGAACUGAGAGUUAUCACCAAGGGGUAUAGCUUGUUCACGGGCUACGAGACCCGUUGGGAAGGUACCCCAGACUCCUCAGGAAGAGUAUUUCACAGGGUGAAAAUACAGAGAAAGAAUGGACUUCCAUGUGGCUGCGUGGAGUUCUAUAUCAGCAACGAGGAAACCCGCAACCAAAACAUUCGUGAUGGUGGCCUGACUGGGGAUUUCAGGUUGCGCAUGCUUAUUCCUUUUAAAAGUUGGGAUCUAAUGGAAUUGAGCAUGUUAGAGUUGUUGGACGUUCUUUUUGUACAGAGCCAACAGUGGCAGAGCAUUGCUUGGCUAAGGAAGUGCAUAAUAUAUACGAAUCCUGAGGAUUAUGAUUCAAAGCAAUCCCAAGAAGGCUCAUCCUCAGAAGGGUCAGCCCCCGAAGAAAACUAAGUAUGCGGCUGCGUUAACCACGCCCUGACCCCACCCAAAGGCCUGGUUCUACAAUAAAAGGAGGUCCCUUAAAGCCUCCACUUCUUCAUUUCAGCAUAUACCAUGGAUAUUCCUAUAACAUACCUGGACUCUGAUACGUCAUGGGGGCCAGACCCUAAGGACUGUAUGCCUCGCAGCCAACCAUUCUACUCCCCCCAGCCAAGACCCUCGACACCCCCUACAUGUCCACAGCCUGAGGAUGUGUUUGAUGGGGUGGUCAGUACUAUUUUUGUGGACACCAUCAAGGCCUCUGUAGCCACACUUUUAAACGUGGUGAUUGGAGAGGUAUAUACGUGAAAAAUGCAUCGGUUCUGAGAUCAAUCACCCCAGCCAGCGCCGGCAUCCGUGUUUAUACGAGCCCCCAAAAUACUACUUCUUCAACCAUUUUGAGGAGCUGGUGAAAAGACUGUGGUCCUGCAGGUUUAUACCUGCGCUGGUCAGAGCCCUGGAGUCUAUGGGUCUUGUGCCUUCUAUUCCCAGAGUUUACGGGGUAACCGAAGCUUUCCUACAUGAACUGAAGGAGGCGAUCUACAUCCACGAGAAACUCAAAGAAAUCCGACAAACCCUGGUGGACGACAACAAAUACCGGGAAGCUGUGGUGGAGGACGUGAUGACUUUCUGGCUCAACAAAACCCCAGAGACAAUACCUAUUUGUUAUUUAGAUGUAAAGCAAUGGAGAACUAUAUACAUACGUUGUUAGAGAGAAUAAAUACGUUUUUUUCUUUUGAGAGAACUUACAAAUGUGAUGCAUCAAAUUAUUGAAAAUACAGGAUGACGCCCGAAAAAAACGGCACCCCCGCUCUGUAAACUCAUUGCAGGAUAGUGAAGCCAGACGGUAAGACAUCCUAUAGCGCACCUCAAAAGACUCCGGGCCAACAGACAGAAGAGUUAUCAGGCCAACAGUUAAUCUCGGAAUCGGUCCUAAUGGAGCUUUCUGAAGGCUCGCAAUCCUUUACGCAGAUGCUCCGUGGGCUAGAUGAUUUGGAACCAAAUUUGUCAGAGAGGGAUUCUCAGAAUCAAACUGCGUGCAGCGCCGAAAGCAGCCAGUCUCCGUCACACUAUUGUAGAUCGGACAGACCCGAAAGAAGGAUCACGGGUGCUUCGUGUACUCUGAACAAGGACAUCGAUGCUAUUCUGCCUUUCUGUUCGAACGGGUUUACCCUAACACCACCCAGGAACCAAGCGACAUAUUUCCGCCCCAAACAGGGCACAACAUCGGCGCAUGUGCAUUGCGAAGAAUCUCCCAGGCCCAAAAAGUUACUUCUUCAAGAAACGGCCCUACACGGACAUGACUCCUCCCCGGCGUAUAACGGCACAGAAGACCAUACAUACCGAGAACCCGCGGAGGAUUUCGGAGCGCCUGACAUUCACAAUAAAACAAGGAAAACGGAUGAUUUCAACGUUUUAAAUGACAUUUCACAGGUAGACGACUGGCUAUUCUGUAACGCAGCCAAUCUUCUUGAUUCCUCCAAUUCUUAUGUAGAAACACCCAGACCUGAAAUAGACCAAGCAGAGUUUAUCAAGGCCUUUUCAAAGGCUCUAAAAUCCAGAAAUGUCUUGCUACACCAACGAAUGGUUGAUUUACUCGAGUGGCAAUACAGUCAGGAUCUAUCCUUCUGGCAUAGAACAAUGCCCCGGUUGUUAAAACGCAAAUACCGGCGCUAAAACCAGUUACCGAAAUGGACGUGCCUAUAAUUGAGACAGUUGAAAGCCUUUUUGCGAAAAUACCCCCGAUCUACUAGCUUUAAUUGAACGGAUGAACGAGGGUGGGGUAUCAGACAUAAUUCCGAUAGACGAAAAUCUCUUUUCCCAAAUUCCCAGCGACCUAAUUGAAAUAAUUAAACAUAUGAACGAGUCAGGAACAACAUAUGAAAACCAAUUAUCUCAAAUCCCGCCAGCCCUAGUUUUUUUAAUAAACCAGAUGAACGAGAGCCUGAGAUCUUCUACACCUGACCCUCCAAGCAGCCCGAUAUUAAUGCCCCUUUCAGAAGAGUCUGAAACGGAAUGAUGUUUUUGAGGAAUUGGAAAAUUGUCUAAUAAAUCAGGAGGGAGAUGGUCUUGAUAGAAGUGUCAGGGUUGUGUACAGAAAUAAAUUCAGCAAUACAGAGAUUAGACAGUUUUUCAAUUUCACAUGGGUGAAUCAAUCUCGAUUAAGCUGUUUUUUACGUGAUGAUUUUGGAUACUCUGAACGAACUGUUAGAGAGAGCAAGAGAUUAUGGCGAACCUCGAUGUCUUACAGUUGGAAAUUUGUGGAGAUAGCAUGCAAAACACUAGCUCUUAUUUUACCCAAUGGUGAAGCAGAUCUUGAACAAUUUAUAGCCCUGCUGGAACGACUUGUUCAAUCAAAUGUAUCCAUCAUUGCCGAUAGGUCGCUGGAGCUUGUUGUGCAAAUAAUAAGGCAACCCCUGGGUGGUGGGGGGCAGAGAAGGAAGCUAGAUAGCCUAAUGCAAUCAGAAAUCAUAAACAAUAAAAGGGCAUGCCUCAAACGUUCACAAUCACGGUAAUAAGCUAUGCUUUGCAAUAGGCCUAGCACAUUUACUAAACCCUGGAUGUACGGAUCUAGAGGCGUUGCAAAAGGCUAGAGAGCUUCAAAAUGCUGUCGGUCUGGGCAUGCGGAAUGCUGUGACAUUCUCUGACAGUCAAAUUUGAAAACUUUCUGAACAUCAAGAUUGUGGUUUUGUACCACAGUAGAGCUAAUGCUUCUCUCUUAAUUCCAAAACAACCCCCAACCUCAUCCUCAGAUCCUGUACUUAUGUGCAAAACGACCAUUACUAUGCCAUUACCAACAUCGGAGCGUUUUUAGGCGCACCAUAUGUGUGUCCAGCCUGUCAUACCGGCUACACCCGAAAGGGGGGGCACUCGUGCCGUUAUAACUGUUCCGUAUGUCUGGAUGAAAAAUGUCCGAUGCAGCCCUUAAACCUGACACCCUGUGCCGAUUGUCACAGGACAUGCCGUUCGGCCUACUGUUACGAAAAACACAAAAUUGAAACAUGGCACCCCAAGGCCUGUAAAUCUGUAAGCAGUUGUGAUAUUAACAGGAAAUGUCCAAAAUGUCAAUGCAAUUACAACCUUAAAAUAGACAGCCCUAAACCUCAUGUGUGUGGAAUCAUUCAUUGCCCAAUCUGUAAAGGGCCUUUGAAAAGCAGAGACUCUGAAGUGGUUCAAGAUGUGCCCCACGAGUGUUAUAUUCAACCCUUGGCUGAAGAUGAACAUUCAGAGAUACGUUUUUUAUGAUUUUGAGACUAAUCAACAAUCAGGGGUUCAUUUGCCUAUUUUUGUAUCUACCAUGACUUUCAAGGGGGAUAAGUGGUCAGCUGAGGGACCCAAUUGUGCACUCCUCUUUCUAAAACCCCAGUACAGAAACUUUACGUUUAUAGCGCACAAUUCUAGAGCAUAUGAUUUGUACCUUCUUUUGAACCCUCUGAUACAGCAAGGCGUUGCACCCAGUGUCAUAGCUCAAGGUAGUAAAAUCUUGUGUUUUGUAGACCCCACUUUCAACCAGAGAUACAUUGACAGUUUAAGCUUCUUACCCAUGAGAUUGUCUCAAAUGCCUGAGGCCUUGGGUUUUGAGAACUCUGU